rnacentral:rRNA from 1 species
UACGGGGGGGACAAGCGUUAUUCUUCGUAAUUGGGCGUAAAGGGUACGUAGGUGGUGGAGUAAGUUUUAAGUGAAAUCCCCUGAGCAUAACUUGGGAAGCGCUUAUUAUACUGCUUUGCUAGAGUACAAGAGAGGACAGUUGUACCCUUAAUUUAGAGGUGAAAUUCUACGAGAUUAACGGGGACAACCAAUAGGCGAUAGCGACUGUCUAGCUUGGUACUGACACUGAGGUACGAAAGCGUGGG